rnacentral:rRNA from 1 species
UACGUAGGGCGCAAGCGUUGUCCGGAAUUAUUGGGCGUAAAGAGCUCGUAGGCGGCCUGUCGCGUCUGCUGUGAAAUCCCGGGGCUUAACCCCGGGCGUGCAGUGGAUACGGGCUGGCUGGAGGCAGGCAGGGGAGAACGGAAUUCCCGGUGUAGCGGUGAAAUGCGCAGAUAUCGGGAGGAACACCGGUGGCGAAGGCGGUUCUCUGGGCCUGUUCUGACGCUGAGGAGCGAAAGCGUGGGGAGCGAUCCGG